CCUGAGCUGCAGAGAUCAGGAGGACUCUCCUCCAAAGGCUUCUCUGAGCACAUCCGCCCAAGAGGAACGCAGCCGGGCCAGAAGAAAGAGCCCCCUCCCCCAACGCUUCCGCCUGCGGUCCUCAUUCGGUCCUCUCCCUCCUCUCUUCUAGCUUGACGUGCCUGCAGGGUCUCCUGGCACGCGCUCCCAAGGUGACCCCUUUAGGGGAGGCUUCCCCCCAAGACGGCAGUGCACCUGCUUCACGUGGAGGAGGAAACGAGUGGCCCCUCUCCGCGAAGCCAGGCCAGCUGGAGUCUGUGAGAAGAAUUGUCCUUCCUGAGCUGUCCUGGCUGUGCCUCUAAACCAAUGAAGAAGAGCUGCAGAUCGAAGAUUUGGAAUAAGAGGCAGGACACAGCAAGGGAGGGAGCCGUUUCUCUCUCUCUCUCUCUCUCUCUCUCUCUGUGUGUGUGU